rnacentral:rRNA from 1 species
CUACGGGAGGCAGCAGUGAGGAAUAUUGGUCAAUGGGCGCAAGCUGAACCAGCCAUGCCGCGUGCAGGAUACGGUCUAUGGAUUGUAAACUGCUUUUGACAGGAAGAAACACUCCCUCGUGAGGGAGCUUGACGGUACUGUAAGAAUAAGGACGGCUAACUCCGNGCCAGCACCG